rnacentral:rRNA from 1 species
AUUGAACGCUGGCGGCAGGCCUAACACAUGCAAGUCGAGCGGAUGAAGGGAGCUUGCUCCUGGAUUCAGCGGCGGACGGGUGAGUAAUGCCUAGGAAUCUGCCUGGUAGUGGGGGAUAACGUCCGGAAACGGGCGCUAAUACCGCAUACGUCCUGAGGUAGAAAGUGGGGGAUCUUCGGACCUCACGCUAUCAGAUGAGCCUAGGUCGGAUUAGCUAGUUGGUGGGGUAAAGGCCUACCAAGGCGACGAUCCGUAACUGGUCUGAGAGGAUGAUCAGUCACACUGGAACUGAGACACGGUCCAGACUCCUACGGGAGGCAGCAGUGGGGAAUAUUGGACAAAGGGCGAAAGCCUGAUCCAGCCAUGCCGCGUGUGUGAAGAAGGUCUUCGGAUUGUAAAGCACUUUAAGUUGGGAGGAAGGGCAGUAAGUUAAUACCUUGCUGUUUUGACGUUACCAACAGAAUAAGCACCGGCUAACUUCGUG